rnacentral:rRNA from 1 species
UACAGAGGUCCUAAGCGUUGUUCGGAUUCAUUGGGCGUAAAGGGUGUGUAGGUGGCGCCGUAAGUCGGGUGUGAAAUCUCGGGGCUUAACUCCGAAACUGCAUUCGAUACUGCGGUGCUUGAGGACUGGAGAGGAGACUGGAAUUCAUGGUGUAGCAGUGAAAUGCGUAGAUAUCGUAAGGAAGACCAGUGGCGAAGGCGGGUCUCUAGACAGUUCCUGACGCUGAAGUACGAAGGCCAGGGGAGCAAACGGG